CAGCGAGUGCUUCUCUGAUGACCUGACGGGGUCUUCUCCUUCCGUAAAGCUUUCUUUUGUUUAGAACAUGAUCAACCGGACCUGAACCGGAGACCUUCUUGAUUCAUCCUUGUCUGAUAGUUGCUUCAGUCUCGUGGUGUCGGCUUUAGAGGGCAAACAAGUGUCGGUUCUUUCCUCUCACCGUGAACACCAGGGAGGGUGGAAAUGAUGCCAUAGUUAAGGAAACUAUUUGAUAAAAUAUCUGAGUACAGCGAAGAGAGAGGAUGCCCAUGGUAUCAAAUUUUGGAAAGUAUUUAUAGGGGAGUUUUUUUUCAUAAAUUAUACUUUGCACCUCUGAACUUUGCACUCAAUUUUACUUUGCUCCCUUAACUUUAAACUAGCACAGUCAAACCUUUAUACUUUCGUAUUGUGAGGUGCAAGUGAGCUACUUUACGGGCUAUGUUCUUCACAUUCUCUUUACACCCGUUUAAAAAAUUUAAUAUCUUUAAUUUAUUUGUCUACGCCUUUUUAAUCCAUUAAAUUAACACAUCUUUAACCGAAUCCCCUUUUCUCAACACCCACUAUCAAUCUUCUCUCCCCUACUUGACACCAGCUUCGUAUUUGUAUCUCCUCACUAUCAUCUCUCUUCUCCCUUUCUCCAUCACUCUUUUCCCAAAGUGUAUGGAAAUGCUUCGGGAUAAUUUGUUGACAAUUAAUAUAUACCAAACCUAAUAAGAAAAUUAAACCAAACUAAAAUAUCAGUUGGCUAUUUGAAAAACUUAAACCAAAUAGGCCAAAAACAAGUAAGUAUAAUCAAAUGGAUUUUUAUAUUUUCCCUCAUUAAUUGGUCAUGGGAGUCUCGAACGGCUUAUUUCCGUUGAUUAUUAAAAGGUAAUAUAUCGGAUGGAAUGGCCAUAACGACAAUUGAAUUCAAAUUUAAUGACUUGAUAGUCUCUUUUGAAAAUGAAGAUUGUAAGGUGAGAUUCGAUAUAAAAUACAGGAAUGCAAAGUGUAAUUUACCCUUAAUUUUGCAAUAGCUUCAACCACAUGCACUUGUGAGACAAACGUGCAACUGCCUGCAAACAUGGGAUUCACGUUGCACUAACGAAAAUAAAUUAUGAAAACAGCACUUGAAGUGGCAGCUACGUCCACGUGUAUGGUUGUGACCUGAAUUUCUUUUUCAUGUGUUUACAUAUGAAUUUAUAUUUAAGCCACGUUUGGUGUAUGAUUUUAUUGAGAUUUUUUAUUUGUUUUGGUUUUCGUGCAUCUUUAGAUAACGGUUUUUACUGUUAGAAUUAAAUUUUAUACUUUUUUAAUUUCUCUUGAUAAAAAGAAUUUAAAAAUAUAUAAAAAAAAUAGUUCGCUACUUAAUGUUAAAAUUAAUAUUAUAAUUUUAUACGUACAAUACGAGCUUUAUAUUUUUAAUGCAUGGACAUUUGUCUCCUAAAAUUAAAAUUGUGUGUCCGUCUUUGUUCCCAUCUAUCAAUAAUAAUAAUAGGAUGAGGGAAAGAAAAAUAAAAUUACUUCAUCAGUGACCCUUCAACAAAAAUGUGAAAUGGAUGGUGGGUCAAGUUGGUGUCUUGUCCGAUGUUUUCAUUUGGAGCCAUAAACAACAGUGCCACUUCAAUCGGUCAAUAAAAAUGUGAAAUGCAUGGUCGGUAAAGUUUGUGGCUCAAAACUUUCCUAGCAGAGUAUCUAAAAAUCAUAGUUAUCAAAAUUGAAUCGUAUUUUGAACCGAUCAAAGUACCGGUUCAACGGUUCACCAACCCAAAUCAACUGUCCUGGACAAUUCUGUCCCAUUUCCUGUACCAGAUCUCCAUACGUAACACAUGUCCUACUUUUUUCUAAGUUACUCUUCUUUUUUACUUUGGUCCAUUAAAGUUUAAAUUUUUUUAAAUUUGAUCCUUGAACAAUUAAAUUAUUUUCAAAUUCCAUCGAAACUACUUUAUAAAUAAAUUAUUUCGUAAAUACUCUUUUUAUAAGAUAAUACUAAGAUAUAAAUUAUUCAAAAUAAUCUAAUUUUAAAUUACUUUUAAUUUUAGUAUCAUAAAAAAAUAUAUAUUGUCACUUUUUUAAUUUCUCUAUUAGAGACAAACUAUUUAGUCCAAUUUUACUCUAAUAAGCCUUAUAAUGUAGCUAGUAGAAUUUUUUUCUUUAUGAAGUUUUUAUUUUUUUAUUAACAUACAUAAUUUUUGUUCAACUUCAACCUUUUAAUUAGAAAAAUCCAUAAAUAAAAAUGGUUCUAUUUAUAACCAAAACUAAACAAAUUAUGAAUUUUAUUUUGCAUUAUUCUUUAUUUAUGGGUCUUUUUUUAACUUACUUGGAUUUCUUUGCUCAAGAAAAAUAAAUAUAUUCUAAAUUUUGAUUUAUAGUUUUUAAAAACAUUUUAAAAUUUUGUAUUGAAACCCCUAAAGUGCCCUUUCAAGAUCCAUGCUUCGGGAAAGGCACACCUAGUUUUUGACCUCCUUUAUUUUUAAAAUUAUGAUCAAGAUUUUUUCAUUGAGCUAAAUUUUUGGCAAAAAUAACAAGAUUGCCCUUAAAUUUUGGACUUCUAAUUUUUUUUCUCAAUAUAUCAAUUAAAAUGAAUAAAAAUCAUCUUUUAUCUCAAAUACCAUUUGUUUGUAAACUCUCUUAUUUAUAUUUUUUUAUCAAUAAUAAAAAAUUAAAAAAAUAACUGAUUUUGUAAGAUAGUUGAAUAAAUAAGAUUAUUUCAAGAAAAAAAGUGAGUGUCCAUUAAUUUUAAUUGGUGUGUUGAGAAAAAAAUAUAAAAUUCCUACAAAUAAGGUUAAUUAUGUCAUUUUUAUCAAAAAGAUAGCCACAUUAAUUAAUAAUAAGUAAACUUAAUGAGAUUGGUUUUUAGUCAGUCUAAGAUUUUUUUUGUGUUUUUAAAGAUUGAAAAAUAAAACUAAAAUCAAAGAAUCCGAAAUUAGGUUAAAUUCUCCCCCAAUCCAACGGCAUACAACACAGGCAAGAAGACGAUGCAACCUAAUAUGGUAGCCCCAGAUCCACAGAAGUGGACCUCAAAAAGAAUAUUCAAAAUAGAACCCAUAUAUUUUAUUCAUUUUUUGUUUUAUAACAGGACCAUUUUUAUUUAUGAAUUUCCUAAUUAAAAGUUGGAAUGAAAAAAAUUAUAUAUAUUAAUAAAAAAUUAAAACAAUUCAUAAAAAACAAAAAUUCUACUAGCUACAUUGUAAGGCUUAUUUGGAGUAAAUUGGACUAAAUAGUUUGUCUUUAAUAGACGAAUUAAAAAAAGUGAUAAUAUAUAUAUUUUUUUAUGUAUCCUAAAAUUAAAAUUAAUUUAAAAUUAAAUUAUUUUAGAAUAAUUUAUAUCUUAGUAUUAUCUUAUAAAAAGAGUAUUUAAUAAAUAAUUUAUUUAAGAAGUAGUUUCAAUGGAAUUUGAAAAUAAUUUAAUUGUUCAAGGACCAAAUUCAAAAAAAAAUCAAAUUUUAAUUGACCAAAGUGAAAAAGGAGAGCAACUUAGGAAAAAGUAGGACAUGUGUCACGCAUGGAGAUCUGAUACAUGAUAUGGGACAGGAUUGUCCGGAUAGCUAUUUGGGCUGACGGUUCACUUGGUUUUACACCGGUUCAACAAUUCAACCGUUGUAUAAUUAAUAAUCAUAAAAAUAUUUUUUUAUUAUAAAUAAUAAAAAAAAAAUUUAACACAUUCAACCUACUGUAAAUAUUUUAAAGGUGAUUAUAGAUACCAUAUUUAAAAAGUACUCAAAAUAUGACAUGAAAUAUUACUAAUUGCACCUCAUUAUUAUAAUUCAAAAUAUUAUCAUGAAAUAUUAUAAUUGCAAACCAUUAUAUAUUUUAAUAUUCUUUAUAAAAAAUUGGCCAAAUGAGUUUAAAUUAUAUAUCUACUAUCGUAAUAAUAAUAGUAAAAAAUUAAUUAUAGUAAAAAAAAUUAAAAAAUGCAAAAUUCAAAAUUUUGGUGGGCCCAAAUUAUAAAAAUUAAAACUUUAAUUUAUUUUUAUAAACCGGCCGGGCCGGUUCACACCGGUUAAAAAAUCUGCCGUUUCAACCGGUUCAAUUCUCAGUCUCUUGUAUUUUCGGUAAAUAUAUUUACUGAACCAGGUUAGUACUCGUUUUCCCCCCGGUUGAACCGUACAAUUCGAUCGUUUCUAACAACUAAUGGGCUAAAAAUUAACGUUUGUGGCUUUAGCAUCACUGGUAGUAAUCUUCUAAUCAGGCAAAGUUUGCAAAAUUUCACAUACAAGAAGAACCCUCCAAUAGUAUGUUUCCUACCGACUUAUAUAAAAUAUUAAAUAUAGGAUCAAAAUCUUCUUGGUAGUCCAAGCACUUUGGUCCAAUAAUCCAAACCGAUCGAUCUAUUAUAGACUUUAUCAAAAAUGUUAAUACAGUAAAAAAUCAACUUGAUUGGAUACAGAUCAACAGUCAAUCAAGGUAGAUAGGUAUAAUCAUUUAUAUCAUACUUAUUUAUUAAAUUAUAAAACGGUACUAAUCAGAUACUGAACUAUGUUCAAUCAACGUUUUUUUUACAGUGUCGAUCUUUACAUAGAGUAUAUAUAAUAUGGAUCAUCAAAAUGAACUCAAAAUAUGACUCAAAAUACUUAGACUAUACCUGUAUAUUGCGUUGUAUAUGCCUUUAAGCAACCAAAAAUAUAUGAAAGAUAAUUUCGUCAAUGGAUGAAAAAUAAUUGACAAUAUUUAUCAUUAGAAAUGGAGAAAACAACAAUUUAGAAGGCAAUAUCAAAGCAAUCAAUCUCAAGAUUAUGUCAGGUCCGACCCAUGUUUAUUGGGUGGCCGAAGCAAAAAAACGUUGGAACAUAGGGUCCCACUUGAGGGUUAAGUUGGAUAUAUCAGUUUUGUGAAAGCAACAAACACAGACUUAUGAGAGCGUUGACUACUGCCCACCGUCAGAGUCCGAUAUACUAGUUUCGUGGAGGAUGAGUGCGCAUUAUUAAAAAUGCCUGAGCUUUGGGGUGAUUCUUGGAGUCAAGUGGUCACUCAUUCAAGCAUUAAGCAUAAAAAUUGGUGGGUGCUGCAGACAAAAUUAU
rnacentral:lncRNA from 1 species